ACAAAACAUUGUACGCCACCACCUCCAAGACCCUGGCUAUUUGGUUGACCCCCUGGCAAGCACCAGGAUCCAUGGAAAAAAAUAUGGCAGUUCUACGUCAUACAAUAUUAUACCUAUACGUAUACAGAUGUAAAGAAAAUUACCGGCAAUGUAGGUCGCCAUCUACACCAUCUACAGUGUAGUCUUCUUUACUAACUGAGCAAUUGGAAAGUAUUUAUUUUUUUAUUUUAUAUAAAUAAUAAUAACAUGGUGGGGUUAGGAUUGCUCCAUGCAACACUCGUGAUUGAUAUUUUUGUUGAUAAAUUUUGAGUUGAUGAAAAUAAAAGUUUAUCGCAAUUGUGUGUGUGUCUUUGACAAGUGGGAAGAAAUACUGAGCCAAUUAAUUAAUUUAAAUAAUAUAUGUGAAUGUGAAAAAUUAUUUUAUGGCAACACUUUGUCACUUGAUGGCUGUUGGGUUGAUCAGAUGACAUUAAAAUUUUACAGCUGUCACUUCACUAUUUUUUUAACAGAAAAAUUUAUUCCAAAAAAUUGCAUUUUUUAUUUUUUUAAAUUU